rnacentral:rRNA from 1 species
GAUGAACGCUGGCGGCGUGCCUAAUACAUGCAAGUCGAGCGAACGGACGAGAAGCUUGCUUCUCUGAUGUUAGCGGCGGACGGGUGAGUAACACGUGGAUAACCUACCUAUAAGACUGGGAUAACUUCGGGAAACCGGAGCUAAUACCGGAUAAUAUUUUGAACCGCAUGGUUCAAAAGUAAAAGACGGUCUUGCUGUCACUUAUAGAUGGAUCCGCGCUGCAUUAGCUAGUUGGUAAGGUAACGGCUUACCAAGGCAACGAUGCAUAGCCGACCUGAGAGGUGGAUCGGCCACACUGGAACUGAGACACGGUCCAGACUCCUACGGGAGGCAGCAGUGGGGAAUAUUCCCCAAUGGGCGAAAGCCUGACGGAGCCACCCCGCGUGAGUGAUGAAGGUCUUCGGAUCGUAAAACUCUUUUAUUGGGAAAGAACAUCUGUAUAAUAAACUGUCCACAUCUUGACGGUACCUAAUCAAAAAGCCCCGGCUAACUCCGUG